CUACGUGCCAGCAGCCGCGGUAAUACGUAGGUCCCGAGCGUUGUCCGGAUUUAUUGGGCGUAAAGCGAGCGCAGGCGGUUAGAUAAGUCUGAAGUUAAAGGCUGUGGCUUAACCAUAGUACGCUUUGGAAACUGUUUAACUUGAGUGCAAGAGGGGAGAGUGGAAUUCCAUGUGUAGCGGUGAAAUGCGUAGAUAUAUGGAGGAACACCGGUGGCGAAAGCGGCUCUCUGGCUUGUAACUGACGCUGAGGCUCGAAAGCGUGGGGAGCAAACAGGAUUAGAUACCCUGGUAGUCCACGCCGUAAACGAUGAGUGCUAGGUGUUAGACCCUUUCCGGGGUUUAGUGCCGUAGCUAACGCAUUAAGCACUCCGCCUGGGGAGUACGACCGCAAGGUUGAAACUCAAAGGAAUUGACGGGGGCCCGCACAAGCGGUGGAGCAUGUGGUUUAAUUCGAGGCAACGCGAAGAACCUUACCAGGUCUUGACAUCCCUCUGACCUCUCUAGAGAUAGAGAUUUC
rnacentral:rRNA from 1 species